UACGUAGGGUGCGAGCGUUGUCCGGAAUUAUUGGGCGUAAAGGGCUCGUAGGCGGUCUGUCACGUCGGGAGUGAAAACUCGGGGCUUAACUCCGAGCCUGCUUCUGAUACGGGCAGACUAGAGGUAUGCAGGGGAGAAUGGAAUUCCUGGUGUAGCGGUGAAAUGCGCAGAUAUCAGGAGGAACACCGGUGGCGAAGGCGGGUCUCUGGGCCGUAACUGACGCUGAGGAGCGAAAGCAUGGGGAGCGAACAGG
rnacentral:rRNA from 1 species